GGGCUCUUAACAACACUCCCCUAUACAGAAGACUCCUUCGUCCAAUGACUCUUGUGUGUAAUGGUCAUGAGCAAGGGCUCUUGUUAGAUUAGCUAGCUAGGCAUUAAUGAUGAAUUAACAUCAUGUGGACAAUGGCAGAUUUUUGUCCUAUUCUGAGAAUGGACUGCUCUGUUACCCACACCCUACUUUGUAGCUAGUAGUGUUGGAGACACAUUAUCCUAUUAUUUGUUUAAUUUGCCCCAAAGCCUUGUUGAUAUAGCAAAUUUGAGCUAUUAACCUUUGCUUGUUGUUUUAUUUUAGUUGUUACUCCUCCCUACACUAUCUACAUGGGGAAAGACAAAUAUGAACGUAAGUAGCUGAUCAUUUGAAGUGUUUUUCUAGUAACAAACCAAGAUUGUUUUAGCAGCAUUGUGAGGUAGCAAAGUGACUACCUAGCCAGCAGAUCCAACACAUUUUGCUCACAGCUGCACUAGGGUCGGACAGGCUUCCUGUGUAGAUUAAGACAGAGGAGCCGGCGCGAGACAUGGCUGGGAAAACGUACCUCCAUCCAGGGAUGAGAAAUGUGUUGGCCCAUUAACCCCCCCAAAAUUGUCCCAUUAUCUCAACUGUUACACCAGGAAGAUUGAAUGACUGCUAGUUUAAGUAAACUUUCGUUUUCGACCUUGCAGUAGCCAUAGAACCCGUCAUGGAAUGGCACGUUGCGUUGAACAACAAAGGAGCUGAUUGGCUGGCACUGCAAUUCCAAAAUGGUUCAUUGACUUCUGCUACCUAGCACGUGGACGAAAAGGGCAGUUUCGUGGAAAACUAGCAGUGGCUUAAUCUCAGUGUAACAGUUAGGAUAAUGGGACAAUUCGGAGUACAACACAUUUCUCAUUCCUGGAUUGAGGUACUUUUUCCGAGCCAAAUUUCACGCUGGCUCUGCGGUGUUUUAAGGCUUCCGCAUGGUUUGGGUUGGCGAACGUAACGAGUGUGAUUGCUUACUCCCUUCAAAGACCUUAGCCAAAACAGUACUAUUUUCAAGCGAUUUUCAGAUGCCGUAGCCAGUAUACACUUCCGCAAAAUAGUCAGAAUUAUUGUAAAUUAAGAAAUCUGCAGUAUUUCUCAAGCGAUAAAAUGUGCAUGAAAACAAAUAUCGUUGAAUGACAAACACUUAAUUAAAGAAUCCCUGAUGUUGACCAGUGACCGAGGAAGGGGCGUAGACUUCGGCUCCGAACUCUGUCUUGCCUCGAGAAAGAAUGUGUGAACGAACAGCCCAAAAAAACCUUCCGACCUGUUUCGGAAGGGAAGCAUGCGGACUACUUUACUUUACGCAGGAGGCAUGUCCGACCCUUGAUCAGCUGUAAUCAAGCGGGUCGGAUCUGACUACCCACCUUACUUUCUGCUGCUUUCUCACUAUUAGAUGAUCUCAUCAAAUAUGGAUGGCCUGAAGACGUGAGAAACUCAUAUCCAUUUCUUCUUGUAACUCAAACCAUGAAAUACAUUAUUAGGAUUUGACCAUUUGAUGAGUCUGACGGUUGGUUCUAUGUAUACAUUACUCUAUGUAGUGUUGAAGAAUAUCCACCAGGUGGCCCUAGAGCUAGGCUAAUAGUACAGUAGUCCUAUAUCAGCUAAUAGUGCUGUGGUAAUAUGCAUGUCAUUGAUAAUUUUAGUAUGGAGGUGUUAUUGCUGUUAUAAUAGUAACCAUAUUAUUUCCACAGGUUUCAUGUGGAUAAACUAUCUUCUGCCCAUGUGUACCUUAGAAUGCCUAAGGGACUGACAAUUGAGGAUAUUCCCAAGGAAGUCUUGAUUGACUGUGUACAGCUUGUGAAAAACAACAGCAUCCAAGGAUGCAAAAUGAACAACUUCAAUGUUGUCACCAUGGGAAAACCUAAAAAAAACAGGGGACAUGGAUGUAGGCCAAAUAGGUUUCCAUCGGCACAAGGAGAUUAAGAUUGUGGCAGUAGAGAGGAAGAUGAAUGAGAUUGUGAACAGGUUGGAGAAAACAAAGGACAAGCGAUACCCUGAUCUGGCAGCAGAGAAAGAGUCUUGAGAUACGGAAGAGAGAAACGAGAAGAAGGCCCAGAUACAAGAUCUGAAAAAGAAAGAUAAAGAUGGCAUAAAAAAGAAAAGAGAGCUGGAUGAGCUCAAGUAAGUUCUCUUAUCUUUGUCCAACCCUAGCUACAUCACCUCUCUUCAUCUGCCAUCCCAAAACACUGUGAAUAGUCACUUAUGUGAAUGAUAAACUCACACAGUAAUUGUCCAUUAAUAGCAGUUAUUCUUCGCUGAUGAUGAGUGACAAUAUGACAACAACUGAGGCGAGUUGAUUAACAAUCUAAACGGAUGUGUAGUCUGCUUCUUUCAGAAAUAGACUGGCAUAUUAAUUGGUUAUAUGACUGUGUUGUAAUAUGACCAUUAUGUCUGAAAUGUAUAAUUGUAUCUUUUUCGGGAUGGAAAUGAUUCGGGUGACUUCAUGUAAAAGGACAAUAUCAGACAUACUCCACCACCUGCAAGUAAACAUUGUCGGGUUGGGCCCUCACUGUUAUACCGGACAGUGCUUUGACAUUGUAUAUAGAUCGAUAAAAUUGCUACUGUAUUUUUGGAACAGUACGUGUGCCAAUUUUGCUAAAAUUUCAGGACUCUGAACAGUCUGGUUUCCAGACGCUUCUUGAAUUUCAAAGGAUAACAUUCCAACAGCAUUGAUCUCUUGCACUGAACAUCCUCUGCUCGACUGACAAGAGGGUAACAACAACCCCCGAUUCCUCAGAAAACUGCUGCCAACGAUUUAGUCUUGGGACGGCUAUACCUUACAGGCUCUAUGAUCCAGUUCAGUAUUGUUGCAUGUUGACCUAAUGAUAUGAAUUAAUAUAAGAUUUCCUGACCAGUAUGUCUAUGGGUGAAAUUAAAUGAGUAUGUACAUUUUUUAAAAUAAUUUACCUGGUCAAUGCUGCAGACGUUGUCCUGGCCAGAGACUGGAACAUGUGAAUUGUGUCCAUGUGAAUCCAUGCAUAAGGUUUGUCUUGCAUGUUUCUUUGAAUUCAUUGUAAGAUUGCUGACAUUGUGAAUAAAAAUCACCUUGUUUAUCAGCUCAAAGUUAAAUUUUAAACAAAAACUGAACUGCCCAUAAGGUAUGUUAAUUGCCCAGUUCAUUAUUGAGACAAUAUGUUGACAUAGCUUUGCUAAUGAAGUGGGAUGUGUAAUGAAUGGUUUGUGCUGCUUGAAAGUUGAGAGAAUGGGUACCACCAGCUUUCUCCUUCCUGGGUGAUCAGAGCUGGGAUUGAAUUGACACGUGCUGGUUUUUCAGUAUAAAGCGUGACAUCUCUAUUUCUCAAUGCUGUGUGUGGAUGCAGCUGUGGUUGACCUCUGGUCCACAUCACACAGACUGAAACGCAUGGAGCAGGUUGAGGCACGAGGAGUGUGUCCGAAUGAAUUAUUCUGGAGGACUUGCAUUUCAUCUGCGUAAACAAUUUCACUCCAAACAACCUCUAAAAGCAGAAUAAAAGGCCUUUGUUUCAAUCUGCAUGUGAUUUGCUUGCCACUACAUGAAUAAGACUGGGUUAUUCUCAGUGACAGGAUGUCAUAUGUAACUAUAGGCCCCGGUCUGUGUUUAUCAACCAACUGUUGACUAUGCUUAUGUCACAUGCCAGUAUUAUUUCAAGGACUGGAACAUAGUGUACAAAUGUCCUGUUUUCCAUGAAGGUUGUUUCAUGGAUGAGGCAUUUAGAUAUUUUUCAAGUUAUGAACUGUUGA